rnacentral:rRNA from 1 species
AGUGAACGCUGGCGGUAGGCCUAACACAUGCAAGUCGAACGGCAGCACAGUAAGAGCUUGCUCUUACGGGUGGCGAGUGGCGGACGGGUGAGGAAUACAUCGGAAUCUACUUUUUCGUGGGGGAUAACGUAGGGAAACUUACGCUAAUACCGCAUACGACCUACGGGUGAAAGCAGGGGAUCUUCGGACCUUGCGCGAUUGAAUGAGUCGAUGUCGGAUUAGCUAGUUGGCGGGGUAAAGGCCCACCAAGGCGACGAUCCGUAGCUGGUCUGAGAGGAUGAGCAGCCACACUGGAACUGAGACACGGUCCAGACUCCUACGGGAGGCAGCAGUGGGGAAUAUUGGACAAUGGGCGCAAGCCUGAUCCAGCCAUACCGCGUGGGUGAAGAAGGCCUUCGGGUUGUAAAGCCCUUUUGUUGGGAAAGAAAAGCAGCAGGUUAAUACCCCGCUGUUCUGACGUUACCCAAAGAAUAAGCACCGGCUAACUUCGUG